ensembl:lncRNA
UGUUUAUCUUCCUCGCUCUCCUCUUUCUCCUCCUGUUUAUCUUCCUCGCUCUCCUCUUUCUCCUCCUGUUUAUCUUCCUCGCUCUCCUCUUUCUCCUUCUGUUUAUCUUUCUCACUCUCCUCUUUCUCCUUCUGUUUAUCUUUCUCACUCUCCUCUUUGUCCUUCUUGCUCUCCUCUUUCUCAACCCCCCACACGCUUUCUUUCUUGCCCCCCUUCUUCCCCAGGUCUCUCUUCUUCCCAUACAGCCUCUCCUGGAUCCUGUCGUUCAGUCGGCCCAACUCUUCCACCCCCAGAUCCAGCCCAACAGUCUGCAGCAGGCUCUGGAUCUGUCCGUACUUCUGCUCAUCCUCAGGCCUCAUUUUCCUCUUCUCCUCCACCUGUGGAGACAUGGACUUAAGCCUCUCUUUCCUCUUCUCCUCAACAGGUGGAGACAUGGACUUAAGCCUCCCUUUCCCCUUCUCCACAACAGGUGGAGACAUGGACUUAAGCCUCUCUUUCCUCUUCUCCUCAACAGGUGGAGACAUGGACUUAAGCCUCUCUUUCCUCUUCUCCUCAACAGGUGGAGACUUGGACUUAAGCCUCCCUUUCCUCUUCUCCUCAACAGGUGGAGACUUGGACUUAAGCCUCCCUUUCCCCUUCGGCUCAACAGGUGGAGACUUGGACUUAAGCCUCCCUUUCCUCUUCUCCUCAACAGGUGGAGACUUGGACUUAUGCCUUCCUUUCCCCUUCGGCUCAACAGGUGGAGACUUGGACUUAAGCCUCCCUUUCCUCUUCUCCUCAACAGGUGGAGACUUGGACUUAUGCCUUCCUUUCCCCUUCGGCUCAACAGGUGGAGACUUGGACUUAAGCCUCCCUUUCCUCGUCUCAUCCACCUGUGUAGACUUGGGCUUUUUGUUUUUUGGGCUAUCCAUAGCCUGGAUGAAGCCUAAGCUAAGGCUAUGUUGCCCAAUCUCUCCUCCUCCAUUUUGUAAGAGACUGCGGUGCUGUGGCAGAACGUUACCUGCUUGGGCCACUUGACGCAACAGAUCCCCAAACGGAUUGGGCUGAACCCCGAGUAGUGUGGGCUGACCCCAGAGUAUAUUGAACGAACCUUGUGGGAACUCAUCAAAUCGGGAGCGCCUUUUGCGAGAGGGCACCUUCCUCUCAUUCUUAGAGUUGGUCUCGGGCUGGCCAUGAAGUGGAGGCGGCUGACCUUGUGGCAGCUCCUCUCCCAUAGAGGGUAAAUCCUUGAAAUUGUUGACAAUCUUUGAGAGCCUGUCGAUGUCCACCCCUUUGUUGAGGACAUCGAGGAAGUGCUGGAAGCCCUUGGCUGCUUUG